AACUGAUACUACCUGCGGGAACCUGCGAGGGAUCAUUACUGAAGUGAUUUGGGGAUGUUGCUGGCCCUCUCUCAAGGGGGGGCACUGUGCACUCCUCGAAACAAUUCACAAUUUCCAUCACACCCCUUGUGCACACCUUGUAGGCACCCAAACCCACCUCCGGGUGGUGGGGUCCUAUGUAUUCCUUCAUCUCACACUCUGUUGAAUGGUGCCAUGGGACGCAUCUAAAGGAUUAUUUGU
rnacentral:misc_RNA from 1 species